UGGGAAUUUUGGACAAUGGGCGAAAGCCUGAUCCAGCAAUGCCGCGUGUGUGAAGAAGGCCUUCGGGUUGUAAAGCACUUUUGUCCGGAAAGAAAUCCUUGGCUCUAAUACAGUCGGGGGAUGACGGUACCGGAAGAAUAAGCACCGGCUAACUACGUGCCAGCAGCCGCGGUAAUACGUAGGGUGCAAGCGUUAAUCGGAAUUACCUGGGCGUAAAGCGUGCGCAGGCGGUUUGCUAAGACCGAUGUGAAAUCCCCGGGCUCAACCUGGGAACUGCAUUGGUGACUGGCAGGCUAGAGUAUGGCAGAGGGGGGUAGAAUUCCACGUGUAGCAGUGAAAUGCGUAGAGAUGUGGAGGAAUACCGAUGGCGAAGGCAGCCCCCUGGGCCAAUACUGACGCUCAUGCACGAAAGCGUGGGGAGCAAACAGGAUUAGAUACCCUGGUAGUCCACGCCCUAAACGAUGUCAACUAGUUGUUGGGGAUUCAUUUCCUUAGUAACGUAGCUAACGCGUGAAGUUGACCGCCUGGGGAGUACGGUCGCAAGAUUAAAACUUCAAAUGGAAUUGACGGGGUCAUAGCUGUUUCCU
rnacentral:rRNA from 1 species